UCAACCGAGAUUCCCCCAGUAGCGGCGAGCGAACGGGGAGCAGCCCAGAGCCUGAAUCAGUGUGUGUGUUAGUGGAAGCGUCUGGAAAGGCGCGCGAUACAGGGUGACAGCCCCGUACACAAAAAUGCACAUGCUGUGAGCUCGAUGAGUAGGGCGGGACACGUGGUAUCCUGUCUGAAUAUGGGGGGACCAUCCUCCAAGGCUAAAUACUCCUGACUGACCGAUAGUGAACCAGUACCGUGAGGGAAAGGCGAAAAGAACCCCGGCGAGGGGAGUGAAAAAGAACCUGAAACCGUGUACGUACAAGCAGUGGGAGCACGCUUAGGCGUGUGACUGCGUACCUUUUGUAUAAUGGGUCAGCGACUUAUAUUCUGUAGCAAGGUUAACCGAAUAGGGGAGCCGAAGGGAAACCGAGUCUUAACUGGGCGUUAAGUUGCAGGGUAUAGACCCGAAACCCGGUGAUCUAGCCAUGGGCAGGUUGAAGGUUGGGUAACACUAACUGGAGGACCGAACCGACUAAUGUUGAAAAAUUAGCGGAUGACUUGUGGCUGGGGGUGAAAGGCCAAUCAAACCGGGAGAUAGCUGGUUCUCCCCGAAAGCU
rnacentral:rRNA from 1 species